rnacentral:snRNA from 1 species
AUCGUUUCUUGGCCUUUUGGCUAAGAUCAAGUGUAGUUAAACAGAUGACAAAAGUAUUUACAAACACCAAUUAAAGUGAUUAUUUAUUCUUGAAAGAUUCAAGCAAAUUAUUUAGAUCCUCCAUCAUAGGUUUUUGAAAACCUUA